rnacentral:rRNA from 1 species
GACGAACGCUGGCGGCGUGCCUAAUACAUGCAAGUAGAACGCUGAAGAGAGGAGCUUGCUCUUCUUGGAUGAGUUGCGAACGGGUGAGUAACGCGUAGGUAACCUGCCUUGUAGCGGGGGAUAACUAUUGGAAACGAUAGCUAAUACCGCAUAACAAUGGAUGACACAUGUCAUUUAUUUGAAAGGGGCAAUUGCUCCACUACAAGAUGGACCUGCGUUGUAUUAGCUAGUAGGUGAGGUAACGGCUCACCUAGGCGACGAUACAUAGCCGACCUGAGAGGGUGAUCGGCCACACUGGGACUGAGACACGGCCCAGACUCCUACGGGAGGCAGCAGUAGGGAAUCUUCGGCAAUGGGGGCAACCCUGACCGAGCAACGCCGCGUGAGUGAAGAAGGUUUUCGGAUCGUAAAGCUCUGUUGUAAGUCAAGAACGAGUGUGAGAGUGGAAAGUUCACACUGUGACGGUAGCUUACCAGAAAGGGACGGCUAACUACGUGCCAGCAGCCGCGGUAAUACGUAGGUCCCGAGCGUUGUCCGGAUUUAUUGGGCAUAAAGCGAGCGCAGGCGGUUUGAUAAGUCUGAAGUUAAAGGCUGUGGCUCAACCAUAGUUCGCUUUGGAAACUGUCAAACUUGAGUGCAGAAGGGGAGAGUGGAAUUCCAUGUGUAGCGGUGAAAUGCGUAGAUAUAUGGAGGAACACCAGUGGCGAAGGCGGCCUACUGGACAGUGACUGACGUUGAG